rnacentral:tRNA from 1 species
UACAAUUUAGUAUAAGCUGUACAAAAAUUUUUGAAAUUUUAGGAAAUAGAUUAAAACUAUUAUUUGUAA